GACGAACGCUGGCGGCGUGCCUAAUACAUGCAAGUCGAACGAGCGGCGGACGGGUGAGUAAUGUAUGGGGACUGCCCGAUAGAGGGGGAUAACUACUGGAAACGGUAGCUAAUACCGCAUACUAUCGGAUAACCCAUAUGGGAUUAGCUAGUCGGUGGGGUAAUGGCUACCCUAGGCGACGAUCCCUAGCUGGUCUGCGAGGAUGAUCAGCCACACUGGGACUUAGACACGGCCCAGACUCCUACGGAGGCAGCAGUGGGGAAGAUUGCACAAUGGGCGCAAGCCUGAUGCAGCCAUGCCGCGUGUAUGAAGAAGGCCCUAGGGUUGUAAAGUACUUUCAGUCGGGAGGCGUUACCGACAGAAGAAGCAACGGCUAACUCCGUGCCAGCAGCCGCGGUAAUAC
rnacentral:rRNA from 1 species